rnacentral:lncRNA from 1 species
GCUCGAAGCUACCAUGGCCGUCGUUCCCCGCAUUGCGCCGCUGCUGCUCCUCGUGUCCCUCCUCUCCCUAUCUCUCCAACUCGCUCCAUCCGCCGCCUGCCCGACCUGCCCAACUCCGACACCCCCACCCCCUCCCCCACCGCGCAAGCUCAAGCCCCCGCCGCCUCCAUCCUCCGUGCCAUGCCCUCCGCCGCCGUACACCCCGACCCCGGUGACCCCGACGCCGUCGACGCCGACGGGGAAGUGCCCCGUGGACACGCUGAAGCUGGUGGCGUGCGUGGACGCGCUCAACGGGCUGGUGCACGCGGUGGUGGGGGGCGGCAGCAGCGCCAGCGAGAAGUGCUGCCCGCUGCUGUCGGGGGUGGCGGACCUGGACGCCGCGCUCUGCCUCUGCACCACCAUCAAGGCCCAGGCGCUCGACGUCAGCCUCGUGCUCCCCGUCGCCAUCACCGUGCUCGUCAACCAGUGCGGCAAGCACGUCCCAUCC